rnacentral:rRNA from 1 species
GACGAACGCUGGCGGCGUGCCUAAUACAUGCAAGUAGGACGCAGUUGCGAACGGGUGAGUAACGCGUAGGUAAAUGCCUAUUAAAGAGGGCUAACUAUUGGAACCGAUAGCUAAUACCGCAUACUAGUGGAUGGACCUGGGUUGUGUUAUGUAGGAGGUCGGGUAAUGGCCUACCUAGGCGAAGAGACAUAGCCGACUUGAGAGGGUGGACGGGCAAACCGGGACUGGGACACGGGCCAGACGCCUACCGGAGGGAGCAGGAGGGAAGCUUCGGAAAUGGGGCGAAACCUUACCGCGCAACGCCGGGGGAGUGAAGAAGGUUUUCGGGGCGGAAAGCUCUGUUGGGAAGGAAGCGUUACUCAACCAGAAAGGGACGGCUAACUACGUGCCAGCAGCCGCGGUAAUUC